GAUGAACGCUAGCGGCGUGCCUAAUACAUGCAAGUCGAACGCAUUGUGGUUGAAAUGAUAUGAAGAACUUGUUCAGAUUUGAUUUUCAACAUUGCAAUGAGUGGCGAACGGGUGAGUAACACGUGGGAAACCUACCUCUUAGCAGGGGAUAACAUUUGGAAACAAAUGCUAAUAACCGUAUAAUAAUUAAAACCGCAUGGUUUUAGUUUAAAAGAUGGUCUUGCUAUCACUAAGAGAUGGUCCCGCGGUGUAUUAGUUAGUUGGUGAGGUAAUGGCUCACCAAGACAAUUGAUACAUAGCCGAGUUGAGAGACUGACCGGCCACAAUGGGACUGAGAC
rnacentral:rRNA from 1 species